GGGUUAAGAGCCUGAGGCUGGUACCCACCCACCCACCUGAGGAUGCUGUUACCAGGGGCAACCUCCAGCCUCUGACGUUAGCUGGGGAGCAGGGAGGCUGGAGAUGGCGACUUGGCAUGGUAACCCGGGCAACGUGCCCGGCAACUUGGCAUGGUAACCCAGGCAACGUGCCCGGCAACUUGCAUGAGCUCCUUCCCCAGGGCCUCACUCAACCACCAAUGAAAUGCUGCCAUCUCUGGGGUGGAACGUGACGGCCGUUCUGUACGAGGUUCCCACACCGAAUAGCCCAUCUCCCGUUCAGGCCGGGAUGCGAGAAGGGCAGAGACAGGCAGUUGACACCGUAACAAAAAACACGGUGGGCGUCGGUGAGAGAGACAGCUGGUACAUUCCACGGCAAACCCCCAACAGCCCGGGCAUCCCUCCUGCCUUCGAAAAUGCCACCACCGAGCGGGGCAGCCCCGGAUUUGCAUACGCCCCAG